UCGCCUCCCGAACCGUCUCUGUCCAACGCGAAGGUAACGGCGUCCGCGCCACCGUGGGCGCCCUCUGCUGGCCGUGGCCGGAGAAGCAUGCAGCUCAGACGUGGACGGAAAGGACUGAUGUGUGCGUUACCGCCAGGUGUAAAACUCAUAGAAAGACGAAAAGGAAUGCAAUGGGCAUCCUCCCCCGGUCACUGAGACUCACACGAGCAGCGCCUCCACUAGGACUAGCUCAGCCUUGCUCAGCGCUGUUCUACCAGAAGGCAGCAGCCACAGGUCAGUCCUCACGCGAGGACGCCAGCCCAGGGCCGCACCGCCGCUCGGGCUCAGGAGCCCCCGGCCCCGGAUGCUGCCGCCGCCUCCAUCGUUGUUUCCAUUCCAGGCAGAGCAAACAUGUGUAAAUACUUCAUUAAAAUUAAAAAAAAA